rnacentral:rRNA from 1 species
AGCGUACACGGUGGAUGCCCUGGCAGUCAGAGGCGAUGAAGGACGUGCUAAUCUGCGAUAAGCGUCGGUAAGGUGAUAUGAACCGUUAUAACCGGCGAUUUCCGAAUGGGGAAACCCAGUGUGUUUCGACACACUAUCAUUAACUGAAUCCAUAGGUUAAUGAGGCGAACCGGGGGAACUGAAACAUCUAAGUACCCCGAGGAAAAGAAAUCAACCGAGAUUCCCCCAGUAGCGGCGAGCGAACGGGGAGCAGCCCAGAGCCUGAAUCAGUGUGUGUGUUAGUGGAAGCGUCUGGAAAGGCGCGCGAUACAGGGUGACAGCCCCGUACACAAAAAUGCACAUGCUGUGAGCUCGAUGAGUAGGGCGGGACACGUGGUAUCCUGUCUGAAUAUGGGGGGACCAUCCUCCAAGGCUAAAUACUCCUGACUGACCGAUAGUGAACCAGUACCGUGAGGGAAAGGCGAAAAGAACCCCGGCGAGGGGAGUGAAAAAGAACCUGAAACCGUGUACGUACAAGCAGUGGGAGCACAGAGCAAUCUGUGUGACUGCGUACCUUUUGUAUAAUGGGUCAGCGACUUAUAUUCUGUAGCAAGGUUAACCGAAUAGGGGAGCCGAAGGGAAACCGAGUCUUAACUGGGCGUUAAGUUGCAGGGUAUAGACCCGAAACCCGGUGAUCUAGCCAUGGGCAGGUUGAAGGUUGGGUAACACUAACUGGAGGACCGAACCGACUAAUGUUGAAAAAUUAGCGGAUGACUUGUGGCUGGGGGUGAAAGGCCAAUCAAACCGGGAGAUAGCUGGUUCUCCCCGAAAGCUAUUUAGGUAGCGCCUCGUGAAUUCAUCUCCGGGGGUAGAGCACUGUUUCGGCAAGGGGGUCAUCCCGACUUACCAACCCGAUGCAAACUGCGAAUACCGGAGAAUGUUAUCACGGGAGACACACGGCGGGUGCUAACGUCCGUCGUGAAGAGGGAAACAACCCAGACCGCCAGCUAAGGUCCCAAAGUCAUGGUUAAGUGGGAAACGAUGUGGGAAGGCCCAGACAGCCAGGAUGUUGGCUUAGAAGCAGCCAUCAUUUAAAGAAAGCGUAAUAGCUCACUGGUCGAGUCGGCCUGCGCGGAAGAUGUAACGGGGCUAAACCAUGCACCGAAGCUGCGGCAGCGACGCUUAUGCGUUGUUGGGUAGGGGAGCGUUCUGUAAGCCUGUGAAGGUGUGCUGUGAGGCAUGCUGGAGGUAUCAGAAGUGCGAAUGCUGACAUAAGUAACGAUAAAGCGGGUGAAAAGCCCGCUCGCCGGAAGACCAAGGGUUCCUGUCCAACGUUAAUCGGGGCAGGGUGAGUCGACCCCUAAGGCGAGGCCGAAAGGCGUAGUCGAUGGGAAACAGGUUAAUAUUCCUGUACUUGGUGUUACUGCGAAGGGGGGACGGAGAAGGCUAUGUUGGCCGGGCGACGGUUGUCCCGGUUUAAGCGUGUAGGCUGGUUUUCCAGGCAAAUCCGGAAAAUCAAGGCUGAGGCGUGAUGACGAGGCACUACGGUGCUGAAGCAACAAAUGCCCUGCUUCCAGGAAAAGCCUCUAAGCAUCAGGUAACAUCAAAUCGUACCCCAAACCGACACAGGUGGUCAGGUAGAGAAUACCAAGGCGCUUGAGAGAACUCGGGUGAAGGAACUAGGCAAAAUGGUGCCGUAACUUCGGGAGAAGGCACGCUGAUAUGUAGGUGAAGUCCCUCGCGGAUGGAGCUGAAAUCAGUCGAAGAUACCAGCUGGCUGCAACUGUUUAUUAAAAACACAGCACUGUGCAAACACGAAAGUGGACGUAUACGGUGUGACGCCUGCCCGGUGCCGGAAGGUUAAUUGAUGGGGUUAGCGGUAACGCGAAGCUCUUGAUCGAAGCCCCGGUAAACGGCGGCCGUAACUAUAACGGUCCUAAGGUAGCGAAAUUCCUUGUCGGGUAAGUUCCGACCUGCACGAAUGGCGUAAUGAUGGCCAGGCUGUCUCCACCCGAGACUCAGUGAAAUUGAACUCGCUGUGAAGAUGCAGUGUACCCGCGGCAAGACGGAAAGACCCCGUGAACCUUUACUAUAGCUUGACACUGAACAUUGAGCCUUGAUGUGUAGGAUAGGUGGGAGGCUUUGAAGUGUGGACGCCAGUCUGCAUGGAGCCGGCCUUGAAAUACCACCCUUUAAUGUUUGAUGUUCUAACGUUGGCCCCUGAUCGGGGUUGCGGACAGUGUCUGGUGGGUAGUUUGACUGGGGCGGUCUCCUCCUAAAGAGUAACGGAGGAGCACGAAGGUUGGCUAAUCCUGGUCGGACAUCAGGAGGUUAGUGCAAUGGCAUAAGCCAGCUUGACUGCGAGCGUGACGGCGCGAGCAGGUGCGAAAGCAGGUCAUAGUGAUCCGGUGGUUCUGAAUGGAAGGGCCAUCGCUCAACGGAUAAAAGGUACUCCGGGGAUAACAGGCUGAUACCGCCCAAGAGUUCAUAUCGACGGCGGUGUUUGGCACCUCGAUGUCGGCUCAUCACAUCCUGGGGCUGAAGUAGGUCCCAAGGGUAUGGCUGUUCGCCAUUUAAAGUGGUACGCGAGCUGGGUUUAGAACGUCGUGAGACAGUUCGGUCCCUAUCUGCCGUGGGCGCUGGAGAACUGAGGGGGGCUGCUCCUAGUACGAGAGGACCGGAGUGGACGCAUCACUGGUGUUCGGGUUGUCAUGCCAAUGGCACUGCCCGGUAGCUAAAUGCGGAAGAGAUAAGUGCUGAAAGCAUCUAAGCACGAAACUUGCCCCGAGAUGAGUUCUCCCUGACUCCUUGA